AGCAAAAGAAAAAUUGCUAGAUUUUCUAGUUAAGAUAUUGUUAAUCUCUUAAUGAGUUCGUAGUAGGCAUACGUUAGCCUAGCAUAUGAUUAGCAAGAUGUUCGAAAUAUGAAAGGAGAGAAACUGGAGAAAAUUACUUUAUUUGUAGUCAAUCCUCAAAAUUUUUUUAGUAAUUUUAAUCUCGUCUUCAAAUUACAAAAAUUUUUGUAUUUGCUCAAAUUAGAUUUAUGAAUGGCUUAAAAAGCAGCUCAAAAAUUACUUCUCUUAUGACUUUCUGCCUGCCUGCCAAUUGAAACCAAGUGAAAGCAUUAGGGAUUGACAUGGACCAUUUGUGAUCGGUGAAUUGUCACAGAGAUAGAGAGAGAGCGAGCAAAGUUCCAUCCCACGGUACGGAAUGCACCCAUGUCACAUAAAUAAAAUUUGUAUAUGCGAUUAAAUUUGAAAUUCAAUCGUAAUGCAUUUCGAGCACAAGGCGAACUGUGCAGUCGGUUGUCAGUCAGUCUGUCAGUUGGCCACACGAGAUGUCCUGCGAUCAUCCUUUCAACCCUCCCAAAAAAAAAAAAAAACCAAAACUAAAUCUCAAGACAUAAAGAAGAAGAAGGAGAAGGAGAUGAGGAACGGGCACAGCUUGAGCUGUGAUAGACAAAAUCUUGUCAUAACUUUGAUGUUGUUAGUAAAACAAUGCAAUUGCUCUGCCCGACUGGGCCCCUCGCUCAAGGUAAGCGACCCAUCCCGCUUGAGAAUGGGAAUGGGAAUGGGAAUGGGUAUAGCAAUGCGAAUGGGAAUGGGAACGGGAAUGGGUACAGGACAAAUGGCAAAAUUUGCUUACCUUAUCGAGGGGUGCAAAACUUGGCAGCUGGGCGAUCGUUGGGAUUAUGCAACAUCAGCCACAUCGAUGCCAUCUAAUGUGCUGUGUAAUUCACUUAGACAUUGAGAAAUUGCUGGACCAGGCACCUCAAACAGUAAAGCCCCCUCUCCACUCUGUGGUUGCGCUCGGACAACUGAUUUGACUGAUUUCAGUGAUUAAACUGCGUUGUUUCUCAAGUCCGAGUUCUAAGAAACUGCGCGUUAGCGAAGAUGCGCGUAAAAUGAAUAAUUAGGAAGGCUUUCAGUUCCUCGUGAUAGACCCACAGAUACCCUCUACAGCUAGCUAAGGAUGUAACUAUAAUGUUUGCUCAUACAGUCCCUCAGUUUGUCUAUACAAACUUUCUUCAGGUCUUCUCUGAAAGGCGCAGAAAUAGACCAGAGAUCAACUCAGCAUCUAAUUAAUAAUAAAUAAGGUCAUUGGCUCUAUUUUCUCAAAAACUUCAA